UUCUUGGGAUGAAGCCCAUUUUGGGAGUUUCACAGUUUAAGAAAGGCUGCCCGCUGUAUGGCCCUUCUGAGCAUCAGGACAACGCUGGGGAAUGCGCAGAGGGGCUGGGGUCAGGAAGCUCACUGCCGGCUUCAGGGGAGGGUACAGUUAGAUGUUCCUACUGUGGCGGACAGAGAGGUUACGGGCCUCUCAAGUCCGGUGGCAGUGAGGGGUGAGCGGGGAUUGGGGCCACCGUACCCCCAGACAGGGCUCCUUGGCCUCUGCCCUGUGCUGAACAUAGCCCAGUGGCUCUGCGGGGUCUUCCCGGAUCCAUCUCGAGUCUUCCAGGUUCCAGAGCUUGGGAGAAAGCCUGUCCGGUCCCUGAGCAGGCCCGAUGGGUACCAACCCUGCUGCAUCCCCUGCUCCUCGCUGAAGCUGGCCUCUCCCGCGGGAGAGGAGGCAAAGGAAAGAUUCCGUGUCCCACAGGGGCGCCUGAGUGCAGAUCGCUGUUUGAGGCCAAGCAGAAAGAAAACCAGUUCGCCCAAAGAGAGUGGCCUGGCCGAACAGAGGGGGAGAGAGCAAAUGGACUUGAGGAAUCUGGACCCUCACCUGUGUGUUCUCGAAACAGGCAGGGCCACCCAGAGGUCUUCUGUGGGGCCACCCCCUUCGGACUUGAGCAGACUCACCGUUAGCAGGAUUCACGCACACCUCGGACCUCAGGAGCACCGGCCAGCCCGGCUCCGCGGCUCUAAGGGGCCAUUCCCCCAGGGAGGGACCAAGGAUCCGCCCAAGGGGUUAGAACCAGCCGCUGGGAGAAAUCCUGCCUCAUGUCCUGACCAGGUGAUCUCGGGCGUCCUCCACCUUUCCGAGCCUCGUUUCUUCAUCCAGGAGACGCAGAUGAAGCCGUCCACCUCACUGAGGGCAUCUGGGAUCCUUCCGGCACUCAAAGUGAGCAGUGUCAAGGAACGGCGCCUGGAGAGGGGCUGGCGGUGUUCGUGUGUUCCAGAGGCCAGGGCAGGAUCCCGUGUGGCAGGGAUAUCCGAGUCGGUCAAGCUCAAGCAGGCGUGAGCACAGCGUCCCAGGUGGAGGCCUGAGGGGGAGCUGCAGGGAGGUGGCCCGGGAGCUAGAGGAGUGGGCUCUCGGGGGUUGGGGGCAGGGCCACGGCAUGGGCGCCGUGGAAACAUCUCUUUCGGCCCCUGCCGGGAUUGUCAAGUGCAGCAAGCAUGGGCUGAACCUGCAUGGAGACCCUGCCCGAGGACUGUCCACCAUCUCACGCCCAAUGUACACCGCGGUGGACAGAAGACCCUGGCUUCCCUUCUGGAGGCCUGCAGGGACAUCGGGUAGUAAAUAAAGUGCUGGUCAGAGAUGC